UUUAGACUCACAGUGAUCUGCCUGCCUCUGCCUCCUGAGUGCUGGGAUUAAAGGUGUAGUCUAUGACAACAUGGCAUACUCAGUUUUUAUAUUAAUAAAAAAUGAGGGAACAAAAAUUCAGAAAUGUCCAUAAGUACUUAUUAGUAGCAUUUAAAGGAAGAAAGUAAUACAAUUUAUUCUACAAGUUAUGUGUGAGACUGCUUUAUAGGACAGGAGUAUGGAGGGAUUGCAUAAUCAAUGCUGUAUAUUGCUUAAUUCAGAGACCUUCAACUCUGCUGCCCGCCCAGGAGAGCAGGUUCUGUAAGAAGACCUACAAUUUGUGUUUCUUCCUCUUACCUUUGCUUGAAGUAGCUCAGCGUCAGAGAAAAUAGUAAUUAGGAAUUUUGAGUUGUCUUUCGUUCAUGUUUCAGCUUAUCAUUAUUAUUUAAUUACAUUGUAAUAUUUUCUGAAAAAAAUUACAUGAGUAUGCUUGAAGAUCACAGAGUAGAAUAAGGCUUAAAACUGAAAACAGACUUAAGCUCUGCUGCCAGCCACCCCUGUCUUGAUGCCACGGUUCGUCUUCAGGUAAAGGCUCUCUCUUCUGCUUCUUGUGUCGGUGUUAGUUGUGUAUAUUAUGUAACUUCACAUCUGAGCAGUGUAGAUAACUGAAAUUUAUUCCUGUGCUCUGCAGCUCGUUCUUUCUCCUAGAAGCGUUAUAUUAUUUUGGCCCCCACCCUUCUGUCUUUCAUCAUUAAAACUUGAUGACAUUCCGACAGUGCAGCGAAGAAUGUCCUUUUCCGUCUUGAAGCUUUUGAACAGUGGAUGCUCUCUAAGAUCGCCAAGCUGACUAUAUGUAGUUUCUGUCUAGAAGCCAAUUUCCCAUUAUCCGAGAGAUUCUUUACCUUUACUUAUUACAUUUCCACCAUUAUUCUAGACAUUAUUUAUCAUUAUUCAUUAUCCAUUUUUUAUCCUAGAGAUUUUUUUUUUAAAACUCACCGAGGGAGUCAUAGUUCUCUCGUUUUUCUUUCUGGGUGUAUUUAUUUUACUGAAAACUUUAAACAUCUUCCUAACUAUGAUGUAUGGAGGUACUUUAAGAAAUGUACCUGAUAAUGUUUUUAUUUUGUUUCUUUAUUUUUGAGAUGAGGUCUUGCCAGGCUGUGCAGGAUGGCCUCUCAUAGCUCCGGGCUCAGGUGAUCUCCCUCCCAGCCUCUCCUCUCAGUGACUACAAGCACACGUUUCCUCACUUCAGCUAGACAAUGUCGCUGGUCUCUUGCCCGGGAGUGUCGUUUUUGAGAAGUCUGAUGCUAUAUUUGCAAACUUGUAUCUUGUGGGUACUCAAUGCAGUGGUUCUCCACCUGUGGGUCAUGACCCCCACAAGUCACAAAUAUAUCCUGAGUAUCAGAUUCUAAUUCAUAACAGUAGCAGAAUUACAGUUAUGAAGUAGCAAUGAAAUAGUUUUAUGGUUGGGGUCACCGUGACAUGAGAACCUGUAUAAAGGGUCAUAGCAUCAGGGAGGUUGAGAACCACUGCUGUAAAGAGUUCUCCAAUUAUUCUCUUUAUUCCUUAUGUUUUAAGAUUUCAUGUAGAUACUACCUAGUGGUAGAUGAUAAUGAUUUAGUACCUUUUAUUCUAAUUAUUUUCAUUUAAAUUAGUUUAUUCAGUUUCAUAGACAUCUUAUAAAUUUUAUAAUUUCAGAGAUGUUAUUUUUUUAUAUGAGAAAAACAUUAAGCUGAGACUAAGAGGCUUAUUUGGUCUAAAAUCUAGGUAUUGCUUCCUUUUCUAUAAUCUUCAUACUAAAGAAUGAAAGAUAUGCAACAUAUAUAAUUGAAUGUGUCAUGAAUAAAAUAAAAUAUUCCCAUUUCUGGAUUAUUGAUUGAUACAUUAUUCAAGCAUCCCAGAAUAAUUUUAUCUUAAACUUUUGCCUCAAAAUCUGAAUAAUCAUUUUCUAGAAUUUUUAAUGUCUUACUGUGGGCAUGGAAUCUUGGGUAUAAAUGACAUCUAGAGAAUAUUAUCUAUAUUAAUUAGUAGAAGCUAGGAGUACUUAAGAAAACCUUGUUAUAGAAGUUAAAUGGGGUUGAGUGCAGGGCUUACCAAGCGAAGAAAACCUUGCUGAAUGAGGCUUUUAAGUGUGUGUCUGAUUUAAUAUUCAUACCCUGAUGAAGGGACAGCAAGUAAAUACGUCAGAGAAUGAAGUGCAUUUUACACAUUAUAAAGGAUAUGAUUUUGCUUUUGAAUUUGUGCAAAUUGUGUAAAUAUGUAGUAGUAAGUGCUUGAGGUAAAUUGUUUAUUUGGAUUUGCUUUUCAUUUUUAUGAUUGAACGUUUUAUUAUUUGAAAUGGUUAGUAUUAGUAAGUACUAAUUGUUCAUCCAAAAACUAUAGAUUGGCUUCUAUGUUAGCAUUAUUUAAAACUGCGAUCAGUUGACUUUCUUUCUCUCAAUAUGGGAAAAUGGAAUCGUGUGUGCCCUAGAAAUUCAUACAUUGCACAGUCUGAUUUGAAAUGCAUGAAGACACUGGACUUUGAAGGUAUUAAUAGGAAAAAAGAGGAGGGAUGGGCUGGUAAGAUGGCUCUUUGGGUAAAAGUCCUUGCUUGCUGUGUUAGCCUGAUGACUGAAGUUUGAUUCCCUAAGAACCAUUGUGGAAGGAAGGAGCCAACUUUCCGUAGCUGUUUUCUGAUUUCUACAUAUGGGCCAUGCGUAUGUCUCCCCUUCCCCAUAAUAAAUAAAAUGCAGUAUGUAAAGGGAGGCUAGGAAAGUUAGCAUUGGCCAGUUUUGUGCUUUUUCUCGGACUCCAGUGUUCACGGGACUGAUAACCACACGUGUAAUUUUUGAGAUAGGUUGUUGCUUUGUUACCCAGAACUCAGGGUUCUUCCAUCUCUGCCUCACAGGUCUGAGGUUGCAAGUAUAAACUGUCGCAUUAGAUGACAGGCUUUUCCCUGUGUACUGGUCAGUUAGUUUUCAGUAUAGUUAACCGAGAAGAGGCCCAGUCUUUGAAAUCCUUUACAGUGAUAAAUGAUAGGUACAAUUAAGAAUUGGAAGACAUAGAACUAAUAAGCCACAUAAGUGAAGCCUAUCGACUGAUUGCUUAUGCUAUCAUAUUAUCACAUAAAAGACCCUGUGUAGUUGUUACAUUUGGUUAAGCAGCAAUGAGCCCUUUCUUAUUGGGAUUUUAUUAAAUGUUUGAAAUUGCUUAGAAGUUAGUAGCUUCCUCAUGGUGUUACUUAUGUUCCAAAUCAUUUCUUGAUGACUAUUGUAGCCUUUUACUUGUACUAGAUCAAGGUACAUCUAAUUGAGCAAAUCCUUCUGUUUUGUUGACAUCUACUUUUUUGAGACAUGUCCACAAAGCACAUGAUAUUCUUGGCAGACUGUGAGCGUUGCCCUCUUUCCCAACAAUAGCCUUAGUUGUGCUUGCCUGUUGAACUUUUGUAUCUUUGUUUUUCUGUCUAGUUCAUUUUUUUUAAGUGUGGCUAGCAUAAUUAUUAGUGUGAAGAUGAAAAUAAAAGCAUGCAGUUUGUAUGGUA